rnacentral:lncRNA from 1 species
AAGUGAGUGGCUUAAAACAACAGGAGUAUAUUGUCUGUCAGUCCUGGAGGCCAGAAGCCUGAGAUCAAGGUGUCAUCAGCGUGGUUCCUUCUGAGGGCUUUGAGGGAAGAAUCUAUUCCAUGCCUCUACCCUAGCUUCUGGCAGUUUAUUGGCAAUCUUUAUGUUCCUUGGCUUGUAGAUGCAUCACUUGAUCUCUGCCUUCAUGUUCACAUGGUGUUUUCCCUGUGUGCAUGUCUGUGUCCAAUUUUCCCCUUUUUAUAAGGACACCAGACACAUUGGAUUGAGCUCAUUCUACUUCAGGGUGACGUCAUCUUAAUUAGUUACAUCUACAAUAAUCCUCUUCUCAAAUAAGGUCACAUUCUGAGGCGCUGGGGGCCAGGACUUUAACAUAUGAACUUUUGGGAUAUUUGGCUUAACCCAUAACACAAUCCAAAGGAUAGGACUAGGACCAUAGGAUGGAAGGCAUAGGAAGAGCAUCAUCAUUUUCAGCUAAUUUUUAAAUUUUUUUUUAGAGAUGUCUCUCUCUCUCUCUCCUGCCACCAUGUGAAAAAGGUGCUUGCUUCCCAACUUUGCCUUCCACCUUGAUUGUGAGGCAGCCAGGUGGGUGAGCGUCCCUGCAGAAACUCCAACCUGCCGGCCCACUGAGGUGGAGCCCCGGGAGGUUCACACCCUUUGCAGCAGGGAGGAGCCUGGCCCCUCCUCUUCCUGUUUGGAACCUGGGAUUCAAAUGGCCUGGCAGGAAGUGCUCUAGCAGAGGGACUCUGGCCUUGCAAGAGUCCCUAUUUCCCCCUUUUUUUUUGCUUUUCACACAGUAAAACCCUGCUUUACUUCCCUUUGAGUCGUCUGUGAGCCUAAAUUUUUGUGGCUGUGGGAAGGACAAGAACCCCAUCUUUAGCUGAAAUAAGGAAAAGUUCCGCAACAUUUUUGGCACACACCCUGGGGGCUCCGGAAGUGAAAGUUCCCAGGAGAUGAAGACAUUGAAACUGCCAUCAUAAAAUUAAUAAAAGGUUCAAGAUUAGAAUUAUGGUAUUGGCCUGGAUUUUGUUAAGACAGAGACAUAGGAUUAUGUUGGCUCGGAGAAUGAUACCUCAAAGGCUGGUGCUGAGAGUUCUUAGAAGCUGCUUCAGAAUCAAGGUUUAACCGUGUUUCUCCCCUUCCCUUACAACCCUAAGCUCAGGGAGGGACUCUUUGGAUUUCCUUAUCUGAUGAAGAAAGCUUUCUAAAAGAAAUUCUGUGGUCUUAAUCCCCCUCCCUAAGGAUCUCUCCAGAGAUCAACCACUGGAGAAAAGAUACUAGGAGUCAUCACCACAUCUAGACAGAGUGCUGCUCCAAGAGAUUAACUGAGGGAUUUCAUCUGCAUAAUAAGUCAACCUUUUUUCCGGGCGCAAUGGCUCACGCCUGUAAUCCUAGCACUUUCGGAGGCCCAGGUGAGUGGAUCACCUGAGAUCAGGAGUUUGAGACCAACCUGGCCAACUUUGUGAAACCCUGUCUCUACUAAAAAUACAAAAAUUGCCAGGCAUGGUGGUGCACGCCUGUAAUCUCAGCUACUCGGGAGGCUGAGGCAGGAGAAUUGCUUGAACCCGGGAGGUGGAGGUUGCAGUGAGCCGAGAUCGCACCACUGCGCUCCAGCCUGGGUGACAGAGCGAGACUCUGUUUCAAAAAAAAAAAAAAAAAAAAAAAGACAAUCUUUGUUUCUGUGCAGCUCUGCCCCUGUAAUGUCUACUUCAACUUCCCAGGUCCAUUCAUUCUCCCUAAUGGUUUAUUGCGCCUCAAAAGAAUUGUCUACAUUCCCUAUCUUCUCUUCUAUGAAAAAGGAUAUAUAAGCUUCUAUACCAUACUGGGUUAUAGAGCAAUCACUGUGAUUUUCCCUCAAGCAUGUUAAUAAUUUGUAUGCCUUUUCUCCUAUUAAUUUGCCUUUUGUCAGUUGAUUUUCAGCACAUCUUCAGAGGACAAAGAAGCAGCUCUUUUCACUCCUACAAUGGGAAUGAUAAUCUCCACCUUAUUUAGUUUUAAAAGAAUUAAAUGAGAUAAUGCAGCUAAAGCAGUUCAGAAUAAAACCUGACAUGUAGUAAUACUAGUUGCUAAUGAUUAUUAAGUGCUUAUUAUGUGCUAGGGCUCAAAAAUAUUACAUGUUUCUAUUCCUUUUUGUCAAACAGGGCAUGUUCAAAGAGUUAAAUUUGACAGAUGAGAAUCUACAAAGCAGGGAGGUUGCCCAAACUCAAUACUGAAUAUCAUGCAUCAGAAUCACCUUGGAGGACUUGUUAAUAAAACACAGAUUGCUGGGCCCCAUCCCCAGAUUUUCAUAUUCAGUAGGACUGGAGAGUGCUAUCUAAGAAUAUGCAUUUCUAACAACAUCCCAGGUGAUGCUGAUGCUGCUGGUCUGGGGACCAAACUUUGAGCUACGUGGGCAUAGAGGUUAAGAGGUCACAUUUUGAAAUCAGAAGGAUUCAUAUUGGAAGCUGAGCUUUAAUACUAGAUGGCCUUGGGAAAAUUACCUUGUCUUUUUUUUUUGAGAUGGAGUCUCACUCU